ACGGGAGGCAGCAGUAGGGAAUAUUGCACAAUGGGGGAAACCCUGAUGCAGCAACGCCACGUGUGGGAAGACGCAUUUCGGUGUGUAAACCUCUGUCGUGAGGGAAUAAGGCUGAGUUUCGGCUCAGUUGAAUGUACCUCGAAAGGAAGCACCGGCAAACUUCGUGCCAGCAGCCGCGGUAAUACGAGGGGUGCAAGCGUUGUUCGGAAUCACUGGGCGUAAAGGGAGCGCAGGCGGAAGUGCAAGCGGUCUGUACAAUACCGGGGCCCAACCCCGGACCUGCAGACCGGACUGCAUUUCUUGGAUAGUUCAGGGGCAAGCGGAAUUCCUGGUGUAGCGGUGGAAUGCGUAGAGAUCAGGAAGAACACCGAUGGCGAAGGCAGCUUGCUGGGGACUUAUCGACGCUCAUGCUCGAAAGUGCGGGUAGCAAACAGGAUUAGAUACCCUGGUA
rnacentral:rRNA from 1 species